rnacentral:rRNA from 1 species
GUCGAGCGAACAGACGAGGAGCUUGCUCCUUUGACGUUAGCGGCGGACGGGUGAGUAACACGUAGGUAACCUACCUAUAAGACUGGGAUAACUUCGGGAAACCGGAGCUAAUACCGGAUAAUAUUUCGAACCGCAUGGUUCGAUAGUGAAAGAUGGCUUUGCUAUCACUUAUAGAUGGACCUGCGCCGUAUUAGCUAGUUGGUAAGGUAACGGCUUACCAAGGCAACGAUACGUAGCCGACCUGAGAGGGUGAUCGGCCACACUGGAACUGAGACACGGUCCAGACUCCUACGGGAGGCAGCAGUAGGGAAUCUUCCGCAAUGGGCGAAAGCCUGACGGAGCAACGCCGCGUGAGUGAUGAAGGUCUUCGGAUCGUAAAACUCUGUUAUUAGGGAAGAACAAACGUGUAAGUAACUGUGCACGUCUUGACGGUACCUAAUCAGAAAGCCACGGCUAACUACGUGCCAGCAGCCGCGGUAAUACGUAGGUGGCAAGCGUUAUCCGGAAUUAUUGGGCGUAAAGCGCGCGUAGGCGGUUUUUUAAGUCUGAUGUGAAAGCCCACGGCUCAACCGUGGAGGGUCAUUGGAAACUGGAAAACUUGAGUGCAGAAGAGGAAAGUGGAAUUCCAUGUGUAGCGGUGAAAUGCGCAGAGAUAUGGAGGAACACCAGUGGCGAAGGCGACUUUCUGGUCUGUAACUGACGCUGAUGUGCGAAAGCGUGGGGAUCAAACAGGAUUAGAUACCCUGGUAGUCCACGCCGUAAACGAUGAGUGCUAAGUGUUAGGGGUUUCCGCCCCUUAGUGCUGCAGCUAACGCAUUAAGCACUCCGCCUGGGAGUACGACCGCAAGUUGAAACUCAAAGGAUUUGACCGGGACCCGCACAAGCGGUGAGCAUGUGUUUAAUUCGAAGCACGGCGAAGAACCUUACAAAUCUUGACAUCUUUGACCCUUCUAAGAGAAAAAAGUUUCCC